rnacentral:rRNA from 1 species
AUUGAACGCUGGCGGCAGGCCUAACACAUGCAAGUCGAACGGUAACAGGAAGCAUCUUGCUGCUUUGCUGACGAGUGGCGGACGGGUGAGUAAUGUCUGGGAAACUGCCCGAUGGAGGGGGAUAACUACUGGAAACGGUAGCUAAUACCGCAUAACGUCGCAAGACCAAAGAGGGGGACCUUAGGGCCUCUUGCCAUCGGAUGUGCCCAGAUGGGAUUAGCUAGUAGGUGGGGUAACGGCUCACCUAGGCGACGAGCCCUAGCUGGUCUGAGAGGAUGACCAGCCACACUGGAACUGAGACACGGUCCAGACUCCUACGGGAGGCAGCAGUGGGGAAUGUUGCACAACGGGCGCAAGCCUGAUGCAGCCAUGCCGCGUGUAUGAAGAAGGCCUUCGGGUUGUAAAGUACUUUCAGCGGGGAGGAAGGGAGUACAGUUAAUACCUUUGCUCAUUGACGUUACCCGCAGAAGAAGCACCGGCUAACUCCGUG